rnacentral:rRNA from 1 species
CACUCCUACGGGAGGCAGCAGUGGGGAAUAUUGCACAAUGGGCGCAAGCCUGAUGCAGCCAUGCCGCGUGUAUGAAGAAGGCCUUCGGGUUGUUAAAGUACUUUCAGCAGUGAGGAAGGUGGGUAUGUUAAUAGCAUACUCAUUUGACGUUAGCUGCAGAAGAAGCACCGGCUAACUCCGUGCCAGCAGCCGCGGUAAUACGGAGGGUGCGAGCGUUAAUCGGAAUUACUGGGCGUAAAGCGCAUGCAGGUGGUUUGUUAAGUCAGAUGUGAAAGCCCGGGGCUCAACCUCGGAAUUGCAUUUGAAACUGGCAAACUAGAGUACUGUAGAGGGGGUAGAAUUUCAGGUGUAGCGGUGAAAUGCGUAGAGAUCUGAAGGAAUACCGGUGGCGAAGGCGGCCCCCUGGACAGAUACUGACACUCAGAUGCGAAAGCGUGGGGAGCAAACAGGAUUAGAUACCCUGGUAG